AGAGUUUGAUUAUGGCUCAGGAUGAACGCUGGCGGCGUGCCUAACACAUGCAAGUCGAACGGGAUAAGAGUGCUUGCANUUUCUUAUCAAGUGGCGGACGGGUGAGUAACGCGUGGAUAAUCUGCCCUACACAGGGGGAUAACAGCCGGAAACGGCUGCUAAUACCGCAUAGACUGAGCUCUCGCAUGAGAGAACAGGGAAAGAUUUAUCGGUGUAGGAUGAAUCCGCGUCCGAUUAGCUAGUUGGAGGGGUAACGGCCCACCAAGGCGACGAUCGGUAGCCGGCCUGAGAGGGCGACCGGCCACAUUGGGACUGAGACACGGCCCAGACUCCUGCGGGAGGCAGCAGUGGGGAAUAUUGCACAAUGGGGGGAACCCUGAUGCAGCGACGCCGCGUGAGUGAAGAAGUAUUUCGGUAUGUAAAGCUCUAUC
rnacentral:rRNA from 1 species